GACGAACGCUGGCGGCGUGCUUAACACAUGCAAGUCGAACGGGCCUUGUCCCCUUUUUUUUUGGGGGUGGGGUUAGUGGCGAACGGGUGAGUAACACGUGAGUAACCUGCCCCUCACUUCUGGAUAACCGCUUGAAAGGGUGGCUAAUACGGGGUGUUCUGGCCUGCUCGCAUGGGUGGGUUUGGAAAGAUUCGACCGGUUUUGGUUGUUUUGUUGGGGGAUGGGCUCGCGGCCUAUCAGCUUGUUGGUGGGGUGAUGGCCUGCCAAGGCUUUGACGGGUAGCCGGCCUGAGAGGGUGGGCGGUCACACUGGGACUGAGACACGGCCCAGACUCCUACGGGAGGCAGCAGUGGGGAAUAUUGCACAAUGGGCGCAAGCCUGAUGCAGCGACGCCGCGUGAGGGAUGGAGGCCUUCGGGUUGUGAACCUCUUUCGCCAGUGAAGAAGGUCCUGCUCUUUGUGGUGGGGUUGACGGUAGCGGGGUUAAUGAAGCGCCGGCUAACUACGUG
rnacentral:rRNA from 1 species